UAACGAAUGAUUCUUGAUUUGGAGAAGGGAGUGUUUCAGGAUUUUUUUUUUUAAUCACAAAACGGCGUCGUUUUUAUAGAACCGGCCGAUUAUCGGUUUAAUUCAACCGGCCAAUUCUAAACCGGUUCAGCAGUUUUUAAACGGUUUUUCUUCAUCGGUUAUUAGAAGUGAACUGGACCGUCUUUAUAAUCGGUUUUCGGUUUGACUAACCGGUCCGAUCUGAUUUUCAGAACCACGUUUUUGAGUUACUUCUCAUCAAAGAAGAAGCUGCUGGAUCUGGAUACGAAGGAAAUGAAAAAUCUUAAUUGAGAGAAGCUUUGCUGCUAAUUGCUUCUAAAUUUUAAUCAUAUCAUUUGGUUUCUGACUAAAUUCUACUUGUAAGCCAAGUAUUCCAGAUGAUAGUACAAAAGCCAAUCAACCACCUAUUGCGUUCAUCCUUCCUAGCAGGAGUCCUUGUCCAACUCUUGAAGUGUUGCUUAAUUGUUUCUGGAACAGACCAUAGUUUCUUAUAGCCAUUUUGACUAUUAAUCCUUACUUACACACUAAUUCCCUUGUAAACUAAUAAUGUUACUUACUUGUAACUGUAGGGUCUUAUUUAAACCAAAGAAAAUAUGGCUGCUGCUAUUGUGGGAGGGGCAUUACUCUCUGCUUUUUUUCAGGUGUCGUUGGAUAAGAUCAUUUCCAAUGAGUUCUUGGACUUCUAUAGGAGAAGGAAGCUUAAUGUUUCACUUCUUGGAAAGAUGAAGAUGAAGUUAAAGACAAGUUUGAUUUAAAAGCAUGGGCAUGUGUUUCAAAGGAUUUUCAUGGUUUUCAGGAUCACUUAGACUGUGCUUGAAUCGUUUACCUCAAAAACAACAAAUACUGAUAACUUGAAUACUCUGCUAUGCAAACCUUUCCUAUCUUCCAUUUGACAUCUCUUGAUAGUGAAGAAUGCUGGUCUUUACUUGCUGAACACACAUUUGGAGCAAAUAAUUCCAGUGAAAGGUCCAACCUAGACAGAAUUGGAAGAGAAAUUGUGAAAAAAUGUGAUGGUUUGCCUUUAGCUGCAGUUGCAUUGGGGAGUCUUCUUCGCACCAAAUUGUCGAAAAAUGAUUAGAAUAAGGUACUUAGAAGUAACAUUUGGGAUCUGCCAAAUUUGAAUGUGCAAACUGCUCUGCUACUAAGCUAUCAUUUCCUUCCAGCUACUUUGAAACGUUGCUUUGCUUAUUGUUCAAUUUUUCCAAAAAACUCAGUCUUAGAAAAAGAGAUGCUAGUUCGGCUAUGGAUCGCAGAAAGUUUAGUACAUGUGACAAAAAGUAAGAAAAUCCUGGAAGAAGUUGGUGACGAAUUCAAUUUGCAGGGGAAGCUCUGCAUUUCAAAGCUACAAAACAUUGUUGACCCCUGUGAUGCUUCACAAGCCAAUAUGAAGAAGAAAGAACAAAUUGAAGAUCUAUCAUUAGAAUGGGAUAGCUGCACUGCUCAAGAGUCCCAAUAUCUUGUAUUGGAGCACCUGCAGCCUUCAACAAACUUGAACAAACUAACCAUCAAAUUCUAUGGUGGAACCUGGUUUCCCAACUGGUUAGGGUUUUAUUUAAACCAAAGAAAAUAUGGCUGCUGCUAUGGUGGGAGGGGCAUUACUCUCUGCUUCUGUUCAGGUGUUGUUGGAUAAGAUCAUUUCCAAUGAGUUCUUGGACUUCUAUAGGAGAAGGAAGCUUAAUGUUUCACUUCUUGGAAAGAUGAAGAUGAAGUUAAAGACAAGUUUGAUUUAAAAGCAUGGGCAUGUGUUUCAAAGGAUUUUCAUGGUUUUCAGGAUCACUUAGACUGUGCUUGAAUCGUUUACCUCAAAAACAACAAAUACUGAUAACUUGAAUACUCUGCUAUGCAAACCUUUCCUAUCUUCCAUUUGACAUCUCUUGAUAGUGAAGAUUGCUGAACACGCAUUUGUAGCAAAUAAUUCCAGUGAAAGGUCCAACCUAGAAGGAAUUGGAAGAGAGAUUGUGAAAAAAUGUGAUGGUUUGCCUUUAGCUGCAGUUGCAUUGAGGGCAUCUUCUUCGCACCAAAUUGUCGAAAAAUGAUUGGAAUAAGGUACUUAGAAGUAACAUUUGGGAUCUGCCAAAUUUGAAUGUGCAACAUGCUCUGCUACUAAGCUAUCAUUUCCUUCCAGCUCCUUUGAAACGUUGCCUUGCUUAUUGUUCAAUUUUUCCAAAGAACUGAGUCUUAGAAAAAGAUGCUAGUUCAGCUAUGGAUCGCAGAAGGCUUAGUACAUGUGUCAAAAACUAAGAAAAUCCUGGAAGAAGUUGGUGACGAAUACUUUGAUGAACUAGUAUCAAAGUCACUCAUUCGUCGACACUCCAUGGAUGGGAAACGCUUCGAAAUGCAUGAUCUCAUCAAUGGUUUAGCUGCAAUGGUUUUAUCUGUUUUUUGUAUCAGACAGCAAAAUGGAUUGAAGGUGGGGAGAAUUGCAAAAAUUUCCCAAUUUGCAGGGGAAGCUCUGCAUUUCAAAACUACAAAACAUUGUUAACCCCUGGGAUGCUUCACAAGCCAAUAUGAAGAAGAAAGAACAAAUUGAAGAUCUAUCAUUAGAAUGGGAUAGCUGCACUGCUCAAGAGUCCCAACAUCUUGUAUUGGAGCACCUGCAGCCUUCAACAAACUUGAAGAAACCAACCAUCAAAUUCUAUGGUGGAAUCUGGUUUCUCAACUGGUUAGAAGAAGAUGCACCCCAGUAUCUCACAUUUCUUCAAGGUUUCUACAUUCUAGAAUGUCCUGAACUUGAAUCAUUUCCUCAUCUUGGAUUGCCAGCACCUAAGCUCAGACGUUUUUGGGUGUCAUAUUGCAACAAGCUUAAUUCACUACCAGGACCGGUUAAUGCUCUUGUUGGCCUUCAAGAAUUGACAGUUCUUAACCUCCCAACAAACUAUUUGUGAACCAUGCUUGUGAAGUUGUGGGAAACUUGCUGUAACUUGAAGCAGAGGAUAAUAUUCUCUAUCGGAUUUUGGUGUGCACAUAGCAUCUUUGUUUUAAGAGAAGCUCACAGCAUAUGGUGCAACCUCAUGCAGCCAAGUUCAGCUUAUGCAUGCAUGGUUGGCGUGACUAAAUUAAGUAGAUGAUAGUUGUAGAGUUUGUUAUUGUUACUUGCCACGUAGGAUCAAUUAGUUAGAGGCUAAGUUAGUUGUAGUUUGCUGCUAUAUAAGCCACGUGUAUCAGCUAGUUUCAUUUGAGAUCUUUCACUUUAGAUUGAGUUUAUUCAUCAAUUCCAUUUAAUUUCUUCUCUCAAUUCUCUCCAAUUUAGUGUGCUCGU